AUGGAUAGGCAAGGCAUUUCACCUUCGGUCUACAACAACAACGACAAGUUCAAUGCCACGAACAACUCCAACGUUGCCAAGAUGCAAGCUCAAAUGGAGGAGAUCAAGGCCCUCAUCAAGUCCUACAAGAGAUCUUCCUCAUAUUCGAGAAGACGCUCAAGAGCACAUGCUUCCGAGCUACCAUCUCCGGCAAGAUCACAUCGGCAUCGACACCACCACCGACAAGAACGUGAAGGUCAUGAGCUCAACACCAACUACCGCUCAACGACUUCACCAUCUCCCUUGGCAUCUUCGCCAAGCGACUUCAAGGCAUCUUCACCUACGGACAUACGACAUCUUCGCCAACAAGCACCUCAAGACCACGCUCAAGAGAAGCUCCCCAAGCUCAAGUCUGCGACCUCCACGAGCUACUACGACCUCGACACCGACCAUGCGAUUCCUUUCUAUGGGACUCAAGAACCCGAGGAGUAUCUCGAGUGGGAGUGCUUAAUGCACGACUACCUCAAGCUACAUCAAGUACCUCCCGAAGAUCAAGUGAAGUACGCCACAAGGAACUUCCACGACUACGCGUCCACAUGGUGGCUUCACACACCUUCGGAGGGCUACGACAUGAGUUGGCCAGACGAAGAGAUCUUUGCAGCGAGAGUUCGUGCGGAGCAUCCUAUGGACAUCACCAUGUCAAGAGUCCGUUUGGAAGGUGACACGUGCGACAUCUACUUCACAUACAUAAAGGUGAAUCAUCUCCUUUACACGUGCCCACUUGACCCCUUCGAGGAUGGUAUACUACUUGACACUCCACUCGUGGGCAUGCAUAGGUAUUGUCGGAACGGUACGGACGACGAGGAGGAGUGCGAGCGCAAGUGUACAACUACACCAUCUGCGAGGGAAGCGUGGAAGCGAAGACGGAAGAAGACGGAGCUGCAGAAUCUACAGUGGCCAGACGUCCGACGUGCCACCAGACGCCCAACACUCUACAGCGCCCGGACGACCGAUGUCCACCGGACGUCUGACGCGACCACGCCAGGACUAGCCAGGAGAUCUACAGCUGCCGGACGACCGCGUCGGAAGUCCGACACCCUCCAGACGUCUGGACCCCCGCGAGCGACCGGACGUCCGACCCCGACCGGACGUCCGACACUGCCUGUGCGCAGCUGGGCCUUUGGCCUUGUAUCCCUCUCCCACUUACCCCUUCGUGGCUUAGAGUAA
rnacentral:rRNA from 1 species